CUGGGUUUGACAUCCCUGGACCGGCAUAGAGAUAUGCCUUUCGUAGCAAUACGACCGGGAGACAGGUGCUGCAUGGCUGUCGUCAGCUCGUGUGGUGACAUGUUGGGUUAAGUCCCGCAACGAGCGCAACCCUUGUCCUUAGUUGCCAUCAUUCAGUUGGGCACUCUAAGGAGACUGCCGUGGUUAACACGGAGGAAGGUGGGGAUGACGUCAAGUCCUCAUGGCCUUUAUAUCCAGGGCGACACACGUGAUACAAUGGACGGUACAGAGGGAAGCGAAACCGCGAGGUGGAGCUAAUCUCAAAAAGCCGUUCUCAGUUCGGAUUGGAGUCUGCAAUUCGACUCCAUGAAGUUGGAAUCGCUAGUAAUCGCGGAUCAGCACGCCGCGGUGAAUACGUUCCC
rnacentral:rRNA from 1 species